rnacentral:rRNA from 1 species
AAUAUUGCGCAAUGGGGGGAACCCUGACGCAGCAACGCCGCGGUAGUGAAGAAGGCCUUCGGGUCGUAAAAUUCUGUCAUUGGGGAAGAAAAAAAUGACGGUACCCAAUGAGGAAGACCCGGCUAACUACGUUCCAUCAGCCGCGGUAAUACGUAGGGGGCAAGAGUUGUCCGGAAUUACUGGGCGUAAAGGGUGCGUAGGCGGCCGUUUAAGUCAGAUGUGAAAUACCACGGCUCAACUGUGGGGGUGCAGUUGAAACUGGAUGGCUAGGGUGCAGGAGAGGAGAGUGGAAUUCCUAGUGUAGCGGUGAAAUGCGUAGGGAUUAGGAGGAACACCAGUGGCGAAGGCGACUUUCUGUACUGUAACUGACGCUGAGGCACGAAAGCGUGGGGAGCGAACAGG